rnacentral:lncRNA from 1 species
CAGGCACACAGGAGACUUCAAGUAUUAAAGUUGUUCUCAGGUGCAUAUGUUACAGAAAAUAAUACAUAGAAAUCGAUAAAGGAGAAACUUCAAACAAGAGGAGAAUGCUGCAGUGAGACCGGACUAAGAAGACUAAGUUUAUACAUUCAGUGUAUAAACAGUACGAGAGAAAUCAGAGUUAAAGUGAGCUACUUUAGAGGACAUUGCCCUUCUUCAUUAGAGACUGUGGAGUCUGCUUUCCCAUCAGUGCAGGGCACAGAGAGAAAAACAAGUGCUGGACACACACGGCUGAACUCUCAGAUUUGCAAGACACAGAACUGGAGCUCUCCCAGAUGAAUAAUGAACGCAGCAAGCCAUCGUUUUGUCAAGGCUGUUGGAGAAAACAAACCUCCUUAACAAUAGCAGAGUCCUGAUGCUGAAAGGGAAGUGUCAACAACGGCACACACAGC